GACGAACGCCGGCGGCGUGCCUAAUACAUGCAAGUCGAGCGAUGAAGGAGAUACUUGUAUCUUUUGAAGAGCGGCGAACGGGUGAGUAACGCGUGGGGAAUCUGCCAAUGAGUGGGGGACAACAUUUGGAAACGAAUGCUAAUACCGCAUAAAAUCUAUUGAGACAUCUCAAGAGAUUGAAAGGAACAAUUGUUUCGCUCGUUGAUGAUCCCGCGUUGUAUUAGCUAGUUGGUGAGGUAAGGGCUCACCAAGGCGAUGAUACAUAGCCGACCUGAGAGGGUGAUCGGCCACAUUGGGACUGAGACACGGCCCAAACUCCUACGGGAGGCAGCAGUAGGGAAUCUUCGGCAAUGGACGAAAGUCUGACCGGGCAACGCCGCGUGAGUGAAGAAGGUUUUCGGAUCGUAAAGCUCUGUUGUUGUUAAAGAACGUUGAUGAGAGUGGAAAGUUCAUCAAGUGACGGUAAACAACCAGAAAGGGACGGCUAACUACGUGCCAGCCGCCGCCGUAACAC
rnacentral:rRNA from 1 species